rnacentral:rRNA from 1 species
AGCGAACGCUGGCGGCAGGCUUAACACAUGCAAGUCGAGCGCCCCGCAAGGGGAGCGGCAGACGGGUGAGUAACACGUGGGAACGUGCCUUUUGGUUCGGAACAACCCAGGGAAACUUGGGCUAAUACCGGAUAAGCCCUUACGGGGAAAGAUUUAUCGCCAAAAGAUCGGCCCGCGUCUGAUUAGCUAGUUGGUGGGGUAAUGGCCCACCAAGGCUACGAUCAGUAGCUGGUCUGAGAGGAUGAUCAGCCACAUUGGGACUGAGACACGGCCCAAACUCCUACGGGAGGCAGCAGUGGGGAAUAUUGGACAAUGGGGGCAACCCUGAUCCAGCCAUGCCGCGUGAGUGAUGAAGGCCUUAGGGUUGUAAAGCUCUUUUAGCAGGGAGGAUAAUGACGGUACCUGCAGAAAAAGCCCCGGCUAACUUCGUGCCAGCCGCCGCAGUAAAAC